rnacentral:rRNA from 1 species
CUACGGGUGGCUGCAGUGAGGAAUAUUGCACAAUGGGGGGAACCCUGAUGCAGCAACGCCGCGUGGAGGAUAACGCAUUUCGGUGUGUAAACUCCUUUUAUAUGUCAAGAAAAUGACGGUAGCAUAUGAAUAAGCACCGGCUAACUCCGUGCCAGCAGCCGCGGUAAUACGGAGGGUGCAAGCGUUACUCGGAAUCACUGGGCGUAAAGGACGCGUAGGCUGUUUAGCAAGUCAGAUGUGAAAUCCAAUGGCUCAACCAUUGAACUGCAUUUGAAACUGCUAGACUAGAGUAUGGGAGGGGCAGAUGGAAUUAGUGGUGUAGGGGUAAAAUCCGUAGAUAUCACUAGGAAUACCUAAAGCGAAGGCGAUCUGCUGGAACAUUACUGACGCUAAGGCGUGAAAGCGUGGGGAGCAAACAGGAUUAGAUACCCGUGUAGUC